rnacentral:rRNA from 1 species
UACAGAGGGUGCAAGCGUUAAUCGGAUUUACUGGGCGUAAAGCGCGCGUAGGCGGCUAAUUAAGUCAAAUGUGAAAUCCCCGAGCUUAACUUGGGAAUUGCAUUCGAUACUGGUUAGCUAGAGUGUGGGAGAGGAUGGUAGAAUUCCAGGUGUAGCGGUGAAAUGCGUAGAGAUGUGGAGGAACACCAAUGGCGAAGGCAGCCUUCUGGGCCAACACUGACGCUCAUGCACGAAAGCGUGGGGAGCAAACAGG